CCUACGGGUUGCACCAGUGGGGAAUAUUGCACAAUGGGCGCAAGCCUGACGCAGCCAUGCCGCGUGUAUGAAGAAGGCCCUAGGGUUGUAAAGUACUUUCAGUCGGGAUGAAGGCGUUGAUGCUAAUAUCAUCAACGAUUGACGUUACCGACAGAAGAAGCACCGGCUAACUCCGUGCCAGCAGCCGCGGUAAUACGGAGGGUGCAAGCGUUAAUCGGAAUUACUGGACGUAAAGCGCACGCAGGCGGUUGAUUAAGUUAGAUGUGAAAUCCCCGGGCUUAACCUGGGAAUGGCAUCUAAGACUGGUCAGCUAGAGUCUUGUAGAGGGGGGUAGAAUUCCAUGUGUAGCGGUGAAAUGCGUAGAGAUGUGGAGGAAUACCGGUGGCGAAGGCGGCCCCUGGACAAAGACUGACGCUCAGGUGCGAAAGCGUGGGGAGCAAACAGGAUUAGAUACCCGGGUAGUC
rnacentral:rRNA from 1 species